UCUGAGAGAAGCCUGCUGCUUAAAAGAGAGGGAAUAGGAGGAGAAAAAAAAAACCUGUUGUCUGCAUCCAGUUGCCAUAAAGAAUCCAAGGCCUACUUGCAGUCAUCUAAGUGUACUUGUACAGAGACCUCUACCUGGCCCAGUCUCUGGAUCAAAGCAACAGGUGGUUCCACCGUGCAUCAUGACAUCGGUUACAUUUAUAAAUUUCCAAGGGGCAAACCAUUGUCCUGGACCCAGUCUGCUUUGUGUGCCUGUUCCUAAGCCAAUCCACAUAGGAUGAACAGUGCAUAUCGUAAUCACAACAGAUCUGAUCAACCAAUAAGGACAGAACUAAAGCAGAAACAGAAGUACUUUAAAUACAAAGACUGCUCUUUUCCGAAAGAGAAAAAAUUCUUUCAAGGAAGAUAAACAAGUGCCCAGUGUUCCAUGCAGACAGAGAGCAUUAAAGUGUGCUUUUCAUUAAACAACU